rnacentral:rRNA from 1 species
AGAGUUUGAUCCUGGCUCAGNNNNNNNGCUGGCGGCGUGCUUAACACAUGCAAGUCGAACGAGACGAUUGAAAGCUUGCUUUUGAAAGUCGAGUGGCAAACGGGUGAGUAACGCGUAGACAACCUGCCGUAAAGAUGGGGACACCAGUCCGAAAGGAUUGCUAAUACCGAAUGUUGUGGAACUUCCGCAUGGGAGCUCCACUAAAGAUGGCCUCUACUUGUAAGCUAUCGCUUUACGAUGGGUCUGCGUCUGAUUAGCUAGUUGGUGGGGUAACGGCUUACCAAGGCGACGAUCAGUAACCGGUCUGAGAGGAUGAACGGCCACAUUGGAACUGAGACACGGUCCAUACUCCUACGGGAGGCAGCAGUGGGGAAUCUUCCGCAUGGGCGCAAGCCCUGACGGAACAACGCCCUCGUGAGUGAAAAAAGGGUUUCG